rnacentral:rRNA from 1 species
UACGUAGGUGGCAAGCGUUGUCCGGAUUUACUGGGUGUAAAGGGCGCGUAGGCGGGAGUGCAAGUCAGAUGUGAAAUCUAUGGGCUUAACCCAUAAACUGCAUUUGAAACUGUGCUUCUUGAGUACUGGAGAGGCAGGCGGAAUUCCUAGUGUAGCGGUGAAAUGCGUAGAUAUUAGGAGGAACACCAGUGGCGAAGGCGGCCUGCUGGACAGCAACUGACGCUGAGGCGCGAAAGCGUGGGGAGCAAAC